GACGGAGGGUGCAAGCGUUGUUCGGAAUUACUGGGCGUAAAGGGCUCGUAGGCGGCCAACUAAGUCGGACGUGAAAUCCCCGGGCUCAACCUGGGAACUGCAUUUGUGACUGCAUGGCUAGAGUGCGGCAGAGGGGGAUGGAAUUCCGCGUGUAGCAGUGAAAUGCGUAGAUAUGCGGAGGAACACCGAUGGCGAAGGCAAUCCCCUGGACCUGUACUGACGCCCAUGCACGAAAGCGUGGGGAGCAAACAGG
rnacentral:rRNA from 1 species